CCGAAGUACAGGCCCUCUCGAGGGCUAAACUUCCACCCUUUGUUUAUUAUACUAUGUUGCUUUGGCGGAUCGCCCUUGGGCCACCGGCUUCGGCUGGUGCGUGUCCGCCAGAGACCUCAAACCCAAACCAUUAUACGUAAUUGUCUGAAAACAAGUUUAAAUUAUUA
rnacentral:misc_RNA from 1 species